rnacentral:rRNA from 1 species
GAUGAACGCUGGCGGCGUGCCUAAUACAUGCAAGUCGAGCGAACGGACGAGAAGCUUGCUUCUCUGAUGUUAGCGGCGGACGGGUGAGUAACACGUGGAUAACCUACCUAUAAGACUGGGAUAACUUCGGGAAACCGGAGCUAAUACCGAAUAAUCUUUUGAACCGCAUGGUUCAAAAGUGAAAGACGGUCUUGCUGUCACUUAUAGAUGGUUCCGCGCUGCAUUAGCUAGUUGGUAAGGUAACGGCUUACCAAGGCAACGAUGCAUAGCCGACCUCAGAGGGUGAGCGGCCACACUGGAACUGAGACACGGUCCAGACCCCUACGGGAGGCAGCAGUAGGGAAUCUGCCGCAAUGGGCGAAAGCCUGACGGUGCAACGCCGCGUGAGUGAUGAAGGUCUUCGGAUCGUAAAACUCUGUUAUUAGGGAAGAACAUAUGUGUAAGUAACUGUGCACAUCUUGACGGUACCUAAUCAGAAAGCCACGGCUAACUACGUG